rnacentral:lncRNA from 1 species
UAUUUGUAUCUUAACUGGCUUUUCAGACUGCAGGAACAGCCAGCACCAGAGAUAUCUCCUGCAAGGCCUCCUAGGUGGGUUCUUGGAAGAAAGGAAUGCCAAUGAAUAUGAUUGCAAGGGACAGAUGACCAAACCUUGCAGACAGCAGCGGGAGCUGGAGGGACUUUGUUGAGGACUGGGACCCAGGUGUGGUUGCUGCAAUGCCCUCUGCUUUGGCAGAGAAAAGAUGCAGAUUCCCAGGUCACACCAAGUGACCUCUCCAGAACCUGGAACAGCCUCUGUGUGGACUGCCAUGGGAGAGCUGGAGCCACCACAGAAUCUUGCUCACCCCAGGGAGGUGGCAGCAAUAGGAUCAUCAUGACUUUUCACCUUGACCUUUCACCACAGCCUGACCCCUCCAAGGUAGCUGCUCAAUGCCAGUUUGUGGAUCGACAUGUGAUUCUUACAUUUGCAACAACAUCUUCUGUGAGUAGCCUGCUCCCCCAGCACGAGGAAAAUGAGACUGAUCCUGAGAGGAUUUGAUUCGUGCAUUCUGGAGGGACAAGCCUGCCUGGAAAAGUCUCCUGCAGGAGAGGCAGACCAGGCUGCCCCAACCUGAGUGUGGACUCCAGCCCUGGGCUGCCGGGCUAUAUGUCCUCCCAUGUACCCACUACCCUCACCCAGUCUCAGCAGCGACUCAGAAUCUCUGUCUGGGUCUGGUCCACCACCUUCCCCUAUCUGGACUUGAACUCCUUCAGGGCUGGCACAGUGACCCAUCAUCCUAUCAUGCCCACAGUGACCUGCUGGGUGCUGUGAGAUGUCAGUUUGGGCCCUGCUGUGUGCACCAACUUCACUGGUGAUACUGUUACCACCUUAAGGGUCAGAGAGGUUUAAGAACUCACCCAAAGUCACCCAGCCAGUAAAUGGCUCAGUUGGGGUUCAAACCCAAGUCUAUAAGAUGCCAGAUCCCCUGGUCCAUCCAGACACCUGACUGCAUCUCGUACAUUGCACACAGUAGAUGUAAACAAUACAAACGUCUACAGAAGUCAGGGACUGGGCGCGGUGCUUCACACCUGGAAUCCCAGCAUUUCAGAGGCCAAGGUUGGUGGAUCGCUUGAGCCUAGGAGU